UCACCUCAGCGAAGUCAGAGUCAGUUUGCACUUUGUGCGGUGCCGGACAACUGUCUUCACCAAGGAUGGCGUUGAGAGUAUUUUUAUCGCUAUGGCGACACGAGACGGUUUUUCAACUCAUCCUCUUCCUUACAAACUCGACGUUUCCAUCCGUCACCGACAUAACAACGCGGGAACAGAAUCUUCUGCAGAUACUACCUUGGCAAAAACCGUCGCAUUAAAGGGAAGAAGAGAAACUGACGUCCAUUUUUCGUCUGUCGUAAUCGGAAAUAGAGUAAAUAAACGUUAUGGAUAUUGUUUAUUUUCGUGUACAAACGUUGAAAUAGACCCCGAUAUGCGGCGGUCGGCCGAAGUCGUUGUAAAAUUCCCGCGCGUACAAACAGCUACAGGUGAAUCGUAUCGUUUGAGAUCGAGUGAAGUUGUUAGGAUCAAGCUCAGCACAGUAAGUUCCCUUGCUUCAGUGGUCAAGUUAUAAUUAUUCUUAAAGUUCACGUUUCUUCCUUGCAAGACUUACUAUAAAGUUCGUUGUUGUUGACCAAUAUUUUGCUUUUCACAUGGGUGGAAUUAAUCAGGGAUCUUUUGACGCAGCAUAGUUUCCUUUGACUUUAAAGUGUGCCGCUUCAAUGUUAUAUCGUAAUGCUACAAUGAUAAGCGUGUAAGUCUGUUAACACACUAGUCAUUUCGCUCUUGAACCGCUGGAUUAACAAGGAGCUGUCAUGCAGACACCGACAACGUAGCGGUCCCUUUACGUAAGACAAAUUUGCCUACAAUAAAUGCUUAGCACGUUCACCUGGUGUGAUCGUCCGAGUUAAGGCCUUGUCUCGAGCAAGCGAUUGCUGUCGGUGACCACCGACGGUGUUUUGUGGCUCGUAAACCAGAAAGUAGACUCACAUUUGAAGCGGGGCUUGUGCGCUUGCGGGAAGCAGCGGUGAAGAGCUUGAGGUUACUCGCUGUAGUGCUAAAGACUCCAAAGAUGGCGACUGCCACUCAGGCAACAGUCUCUGCUCGCGUUAAAUGUCCAAACGAUCACACCAGUCGAACUGAAUUCAUUACUCCUAACUCUAAAGCAUUUGCCCACCUUCUUUAUGUACGCACAUUUCACAGCAAACUUCACAAGCCACCCUGAGUACACCGAUGCAAAAUCUUACGUUGUUGACACGAGUAGCCGCUUUAAAACCCGUCAUUAUGAAUAAAAGCCUUUGCUUUGAAUUAA